CAACAGCCUGUGAGGUAGGUUCCUUUAUUAUCACCAUUUUGCAGAUGAGAAAACAGAAACAGAAGAUUAAGUAACUUGCCCAAAGUCGUGCACCUUAUAAAGUAAUACAUGAAAUUUUGAGUCCAGUUGUAUGUUUAAGAGUGAUUUUCAACCUUUAAUAUGCAGUCGAGUGGCCUGAAAAGGUAUCAUGAUCAGAAAAACAAAAUGAGAAUCCACCAUCCAAAAAACAAAAAAGAAAUUAUUUGGGUCAUUGAAUAUCAAGGGGAAGAAAUAAAAGGAAAUGAUUAG
rnacentral:lncRNA from 1 species